rnacentral:piRNA from 1 species
UCGGAUUAUAAAUGGAUUCCA